rnacentral:rRNA from 1 species
GAUGAACGCUGGCGGCGUGCCUAAUACAUGCAAGUCGAGCGAACAGACGAGGAGCUUGCUCCUCUGACGUUGGCGGCGGACGGGUGAGUAACACGUGGAUAACCUACCUAUAAGACUGGGAUAACUUCGGGAAACCGGAGCUAAUACCGGAUAAUAUAUUGAACCGCAUGGUUCAAUAGUGAAAGACGGUUUUGCUGUCACUUAUAGAUGGAUCCGCGCCGCAUUAGCUAGUUGGUAAGGUAACGGCUUACCAAGGCAACGAUGCGUAGCCGACCUGAGAGGGUGAUCGGCCACACUGGAACUGAGACACGGUCCAGACUCCUACGGGAGGCAGCAGUAGGGAAUCUUCCGCAGUGGGCGAAAGCCUGACGGAGCAACGCCGCGUGAGUGAUGAAGGUCUUCGGAUCGUAAAACUCUGUUAUUAGGGAAGAACAAAUGUGUAAGUAACUAUGCACGUCUUGACGGUACCUAAUCAGAAAGCCACGGCUAACUACGU